GCUGCCUAUUUGAAGAGGAGGAGAUAGGAAUUCACACACCAAAUGAGUGCUUUUUUGGGAGGUGGGGGAUCUGACGUCACAGGGUAGAGCAGCAGAUGCCUCUGGGCAGUGAGUGUGUUUUCCCACAUCCACGGGAAUGGUGCAGGAGCAUGAAGUAGCGCUGUGUGAUAGUUAGUGGUUGUAGUUGGUUUACGAGAAAUGGGGGUUUGAAACUGUGCCCCUCGCUGAGUGUAUGACUUUGGACUCUGAGCUUCAGUUUACUCAUCACCAAAGAUGACCCUCCUUAGCGGCUGUAGUGAGGAGGCAGGUGAGGGCAUGCGAGUCCUGAGCUCAGCACAGAUGUUGGCACCUUGUGUGCCUAAGUCACUGUCAGCCACUGAUGGCAAUUAGGACACCACCGCGUGGGCGACAAAUACCACAUAGUUGCAAAGACAAAUCCAAGUUCUGAAGAGUUUCUGCUUUCUCACUUUUUUUAAAUUGAAGAGUAAUUGAGAUACAAUAUUGUGUUAGUUUCAGACAUACAACACAGUGAUUUGACAUUUAUGUACACUAUGAAAUGAUCGCCAUGAUAAGACUCAAUCUUCAGGUUUUUAGAAUAACUCUCUUCACUUGAAAAUUGACUUCAUUUGCCUUGUUGGUUCAGCAUCAGGAGUAAUUGUCCUAGAGGCGGCUGAUUAGUAGCCUGUUGAUAAGUCUGCAAACAGGCAGCGGGGCUGGAAUGUGGAGCAGGCAAUAGAAGGGAGCUCAACGUGCUCUGACCACAGGUGGUGGGGCCCAGCUAGGAGAACUGGGGCCCCAGGAAAAGCUUCUAGUUCUCGGCAUUCCAUCACAACAUGGAUCUGGCCUUUUAGAUACAUUUUCCUACCUGCUCUUUAGGAAGAAGCCAGGUAACUUAGAACCACAUCUGACCUUGUUCUGCCACGAUGGGCAUCUGAAAGCGACCUUGGCAAAUAUUCCUCUUCAUUCCUGUGGAAUAUUGGCGGCAUGUGUCCAUCCAACCUUUUGUACUUCAGAGUGAACUUCUCAGUCAUCUUGGAAUAAUCUUGCGUCUGUCUAGUUCAUCCGAGUGUGGGAAAAAUAAUCUCCAUAUGAAGGGCCAUCUGGAGCACCGGGUGUAUAAUAAAUCACUGUGAACAGCAAUUAUACUUAUUGGGAGCCCAGUUAUUUUCUUGCAAGUAGAAACAGGAGGAUACGCUAUUGGCUUCUGAAAACAAUGUUGUCACGAACUUCCUUCUGGGAGAGCCGAAGGUCAGGAAGACCCCAGGCUGUCAGUCUGAGAAGAAAGGAGCUGCUAUAGUGGGGGAAUGGAAGACUAUCUGGAUUUUCCUCUUCUCCUUCAGCUGUAGUCCCUACAAAGAUCUAACAUGUUUUUAUCCUACGUAGCUUUUCUUAUAUCCUUUUAGAAAGUAUUACCCUUUGCAAUUUGCACUGAUCUGUUGAUCUUGACCAAGAUGCAGGUUUUCAAGGCAAAGUCACUUAGUAGCUGAAUGACCUUAAGUGAGCCAUCUCCCUCCCUCAGCCACUCCUUCCCCAAGUGGAGAAAGUGGCUAAUGGAAAUGUACCUAAUGUGGCUAACCUCCUGGCACAGAGGGGACCAAUAAACAUGAAUUCCCUUCUCUCUUAAGUAAAAAAUCCCAAAGAAGAGGAAGUCGACAUGCAAAUAACUUUAAAUAGCAUAAUUUCAACAGCAAAUAGAUACAAUCUAAAUGUUAGACAAUAGGCUGUUUAAAUCAAUUAUGUGUUCUAGAUACCACCAUUCUUCUAUUAACAGAUGCCACCCUCCCCCUUCUCCCCAUUAAAGGACUGGAAAAUCAACUCAGAAAGGACACUGUCUCCCUUCUUUUUUAUCACAGUGAUUGGUCCAGGAUGGACACACGGUUCAAUCCAGCUCAAAGGGCUUCCCUUAGAUUUUCCUGUCGAAAAGAUUUUGUCUUCCUUUUUUGGUGGAGAGUUGUAUGACUGACUCCUACAUUUUCAGGUGGCAUGGCCCCCAGCACAUGGAAGAGUCUGGAAGGAGAAUGGGAAGUGAAGAAUCUGGUGAUAUCAAGCUACUGGCCCCCAAUCCUUAGGUUCCCAUGGCUGCUUGGUUCUCACAGUUCAGUGAGCAAUCCCAGAAUUUUCCCAUUAAAUUUCCCUUUUCCUUCAGCUAGCUGGAGUU
rnacentral:lncRNA from 1 species